rnacentral:rRNA from 1 species
UACGUAGGGCGCAAGCGUUGUCCGGAAUUAUUGGGCGUAAAGAGCUCGUAGGCGGUUUGUCGCGUCUGUCGUGAAAGCCCACGGCUUAACCGUGGGUCUGCGGUGGAUACGGGCAGACUAGAGGCAGGUAGGGGAGAAUGGAAUUCCCGGUGUAGCGGUGAAAUGCGCAGAUAUCGGGAGGAACACCGGUGGCGAAGGCGGUUCUCUGGGCCUGUACUGACGCUGAGGAGCGAAAGCGUGGGGAGCGAACAGGAUUAGAUACCCUGGUAGUCCACGCCGUAAACGUUGGGCGCUAGGUGUGGGGUUCUUCCACGGAUUCCGCGCCGUAGCUAACGCAUUAAGCGCCCCGCCUGGGGAGUACGGCCGCAAGGCUAAA